GAAAAUGUGCUUUCUUUAAUCACAUUUAGACUUUUACAGCACGUUUUUGAUCUGCCAAAAUACACGGGGGAGAUGAGAAAAACCACAAAAAUUGGAGCCGCACGGCCCAGCAGGGCGGCUGGGUAAACUGUCAGGACGGAGAAGAAGAGCAACAAAACAACAGGAAAGCCACCGUGACGAGGAAACAGCUGUUACAGAUGUGGCUGAUGGCUCAUUUUUGACUGCAAGACGGAGGUUUUCAAAGUUGUUUUGGAUCUUUUAUGAUUUCAUCUGGUUAUGAUCUGCGUCCUGCGUCGUUCUCAACAACAGAAAAGUU